rnacentral:rRNA from 2 species
AUGAGCGGCGGGGUGAGUAACACGUAAAGAAGUCUGGGAUAACCACGAGAAAUCGGGCUAGGUCAUCGGACCGCAUGGUCCGAGGAUGAAAGGCGCUCCGGCGUCGCCUGGGGAUGGCUUUGCGGUGCAUUAGCUAGUUGGUGGGGUAAUGGCCCACCAAGGCGACGAUGCAUAGCCGACCUGAGAGGGUGAUCGGCCACACUGGGACUGAGACACGGCCCAGACUCCUACGGGAGGCAGCAGUAGGGAAUCUUCCACAAUGGACGAAAGUCUGAUGGAGCAACGCCGCGUGAACGAUGAAGGCCUUCGGGUCGUAAAGUUCUGUUGUAAGGGAAGAACAAGUGCCGCAGGCAAUGGCGGCACCUUGACGGUACCUUGCGAGAAAGCCACGGCUAACUACGUGCCAGCAGCCGCGGUAAUACGUAGGUGGCAAGCGUUGUCCGGAAUUAUU